CUCGGUGCUUGCACCGGGUGAUCAGUGGCGAACGGGUGAGUAACACGUGAGCAACCUGCCCCCGACCCUGGGAUAACCCCGAGAAAUCGGAGCUAAUACCGGAUACGAGACGCACAGGCAUCUGUAGCGUCUGGAAAGAUUCAUCGGUCAGGGAUGGGCUCGCGGCCUAUCAGCUAGUUGGUGAGGUAGUGGCUCACCAAGGCGACGACGGGUAGCCGGCCUGAGAGGGCGACCGGCCACACUGGGACUGAGACACGGCCCAGACUCCUACGGGAGACAGCAGUGGGGAAUAUUGCACAAUGGGCGCAAGCCUGAUGCAGCGACGCCGCGUGGGGGAUGAAGGCCUUCGGGUUGUAAACCCCUUUCAGCAGGGAAGAAGCGAAAGUGACAGUACCUGCAGAAGAAGCGCCGGCUAACUACGUGCCAGCAGCCGCGGUAAUACGUAGGGCGCAAGCGUUGUCCGGAUUUAUUGGGCGUAAAGAGCUCGUAGGCGGUUUGUCGCGUCUGCUGUGAAAACCCGAGGCUCAACCUCGGGCCUGCAGUGGGUACGGGCAGACUAGAGUGCGGUAGGGGAGACUGGAAUUCCUGGUGUAGCGGUGGAAUGCGCAGAUAUCAGGAGGAACACCGAUGGCGAAGGCAGGUCUCUGGGCCGCAACUGACGCUGAGGAGCGAAAGCAUGGGGAGCGAACAGGAUUAGAUACCCUGGUAGUCCAUGCCGUAAACGUUGGGCACUAGGUGUGGGGCUCAUUCCACGAGUUCCGUGCCGCAGCAAACGCAUUAAGUGCCCCGC
rnacentral:rRNA from 1 species